rnacentral:rRNA from 1 species
GAUGCACGCUGGCGGCGUGCCUAAUACAUGCAAGUCGAACGAAGCGGGGACGGGUGAUUAACACGUAGAUAACCUCCUAUAAGACUGGGCUCACUUCGGGAAACCAGAGAUAAACCGGACACUUAUAGAUUGAUCCGCUCUGCAUUAGCUAGUUGGUAAAGUAACGGCUUACCAAGGCAACGAUGCAUAUCCGACCUGCGAGGUUGUUCGGCCAAACUGGAACUGAGACAAGGUCCAGACUCCUGCGGGAGGCAGCAGUAGGGAAUCUUCCGCAAUGGGCGAAAGCCUGACGGAGCAACGCCGCGUGAGUGAUGAAGGUCUUCGGAUCGUAAAACUCGGUUAUUAGGGAAGCGGUAACUAAUCAGAAAGCCACGGCUAACUACGUGCCAGCAGCCGCGGUAAUUC